rnacentral:sRNA from 1 species
GCCAGGCCGACUGACUUCCGCGCAAGCGGAAUGCUUCACCGGCGCCGCGCGCCGCCUUCGCCAUCGCGGGGGUGGAACGCAGCGUCGGCGGCCGGCGGGCUAGUCCUCCCGCAGGCCGGCGCCAUGUCCUUUCCGCCGGGUCGGUGUGCCCCCGACCCAGCGGGUUUUGGCGUCGCAUGGCAGGACGCGGCACCGGGCGUGAACCCGCCCGUGAGACACUUUUGUUAACAUCCGACGCACCCGGACAGCCUGCCAAUUCAGCUCCUGUCUGCGUUUGUCAUUCAGACUUCACCACCAUGACCCAACAGCGCACCCUCAAGAACACGAUCCGCGCCACCGGCGUAGGCCUGCACAGCGGCGACAAGGUCU